rnacentral:rRNA from 1 species
AUUGAACGCUGGCGGAAUGCUUUACACAUGCAAGUCGAACGGUAGAGGGGGCAACCCCUCGAGAGUGGCGAACGGGUGAGUAAUAUAUCGGAACGUGCCCAGUCGUGGGGGAUAACGUAGCGAAAGUUACGCUAAUACCGCAUACGAUCUAAGGAUGAAAGCGGGGGAUCGCAAGACCUCGCGCGAUUGGAGCGGCCGCUAUCAGAUUAGGUAGUUGGUGGGGUAAAGGCUCACCAAGCCAACGAUCUGUAGCUGGUCUGAGAGGACGACCAGCCACGCUGGAACUGAGACACGGUCCAGACUCCUACGGGAGGCAGCAGUGGGGAAUUUUGGACAAUGGACGCAAGUCUGAUCCAGCCAUUCCGCGUGCAGGAUGAAGGCCCUCGGGUUGUAAACUGCUUUUGUACGGAACGAAAAGGUCUCUCUUAAUACGGGGGACUCAUGACGGUACCGUAAGAAUAAGCACCGGCUAACUACGUGCCAGCCGCCGCAGUAAUAC